GACGAACGCUGGCGGCGUGCCUAAUACAUGCAAGUCGAGCGGACCUCUUCGGAGGUCAGCGGCGGACGGGUGAGUAACACGUGGGCAACCUGCCUGUAAGACUGGGAUAACACCGGGAAACCGGUGCUAAUACCGGAUAAUCCUUUUCCUCACAUGAGGGAAAGCUGAAAGACGGCAUCUCGCUGUCACUUACAGAUGGGCCCGCGGCGCAUUAGCUAGUUGGUGAGGUAACGGCUCACCAAGGCGACGAUGCGUAGCCGACCUGAGGGGGUGAUCGGCCACACUGGGACUGAGACACGGCCCAGACUCCUACGGGAGGCAGCAGUAGGGAAUCUUCCGCAAUGGACGAAAGUCUGACGGAGCAACGCCGCGUGAGCGAAGAAGGCCUUCGGGUCGUAAAGCUCUGUUGUCAGGGAAGAACAAGUACCGGAGUAACUGCCGGUACCUUGACGGUACCUGACCAGAAAGCCACGGCUAACUUCGUGCCAGCCGCCGCGGUAAAAC
rnacentral:rRNA from 1 species